GGGGAUUUAGCUCAGUGGUAGAGUGCUUGCUUAGCAAGUGCAAGGCCCUGGGUUCGAUCCUCAGCUCCA
rnacentral:tRNA from 1 species